UACGUAGGGUGCGAGCGUUAAUCGGAAUUACUGGGCGUAAAGCGUGCGCAGGCGGUUCGCCAAGUCAGGUGUGAAAUCCCCGGGCUUAACCUGGGAAUUGCGCUUGAAACUAGCGGGCUUGAGUGUGGCAGAGGGGGGUGGAAUUCCACGUGUAGCAGUGAGAUGCGUAGAGAUGUGGAGGAACACCGAUGGCGAAGGCAGCCCCCUGGGUCAACACUGACGCUCAUGCACGAAAGCGUGGGGAGCAAACAGG
rnacentral:rRNA from 1 species